rnacentral:rRNA from 1 species
UACGUAGGGGGCUAGCGUUGUCCGGAAUCAUUGGGCGUAAAGCGCGUGUAGGCGGUCCGGUAAGUCCGCUGUGAAAGUCGGGGGCUCAACCCUCGGAUGCCGGUGGAUACUGUCGGGCUUGAGUACGGAAGAGGCGAGUGGAAUUCCUGGUGUAGCGGUGAAAUGCGCAGGAUAUCAGGAGGAACACCAAUUGCGAAGGCAGCUCGCUGGGACGUUACUGACGCUGAGACGCGAAAGCGUGGGGAGCAAACAGG